AUGAUAAUAAGGAUUAGUCUUGAUAUGAAACUUUUAUUUUUGAGGUAUCCAUCACGAAUUGAAAAGAUUGAUUAUGAAGAAGGGAAAAUGCUAGUCCAUUUUGAGCGUUGGAGCCAUCGUUACGAUGAGUGGAUUUACUGGGACAGCAACAGGUUGCGGCCCCUUGAGAGACCUGCGCUAAGAAAAGAAGGGCUAAAGGACGAGGAAGAGUUCUUUUUGUUUGACUAGGAUUUUAAAGCUGGAGAAGAAGUUCUGGCUCGUUGGACAGACUGUCGCUAUUACCCUGCCAAGAUUGAAGCAAUUAACAAAGAAGGUAUGCAUUUGACAUGACCUGAGACUUAAGUAGGAUGGGGAGAAAAUUAUUUUAAAUGUCAGUUAAGGUAUAUAAUUGUUGCAUAGAGCUGCCAUCUUGUUUUAUGUUGCCCUGUGUGGAUUUCCUGCUAGUAUUCUUUAUGGGAACAUUUGUUACAUAUUGCAUGGCUCGUGACUUCGCAGCUUAAAUCAAAAAACCUGGUGUGUUAGUAGGAUUUCCCAUGAGCCUGUUAAAUUUUUCAGACAGACAAUAAACUUG
rnacentral:lncRNA from 1 species